rnacentral:rRNA from 1 species
CCUACGGGAGGCAGCAGUGGGGAAUAUUGCGCAAUGGGCGAAAGCCUGACGCAGCGACGCCGCGUGAGGGAUGAAGGUCUUCGGAUCGUAAACCUCUGUUAGUAGGGGAGAACGGUGACUGUGGUAAUCAGCAGUGAAUUGACGGUACCUGCAAAGGAAGCACCGGCUAACUCCGUGCCAGCAGCCGCGGUAAUACGGAGGGUGCGAGCGUUAAUCGGAAUUACUGGGCGUAAAGCGCGCGUAGGCGGUAUGUCAAGUCAAGGGGGAAAUCCCCGCGCUCAACGUGGGAACUGCCUUUGAAACUGGCAAACUGGAGUGUGUGAGAGGAUAGUGGAAUUCCAGGUGUAGGGGUGAAAUCCGUAGAUAUCUGGAGGAACAUCAGUGGCGAAGGCGACUAUCUGGCACAUAACUGACGCUGAGGAGCGAAAGCGUGGGUAGCAAACAGGAUUAGAUACCCGAGUAGUC